rnacentral:rRNA from 1 species
CUUGGUGGCUAUAGCGGAGGUCCCAGCACCCGAUCCCAUUCCGAACUCGGCCGUGAAAACCUCCAGCGCCGAUGGUACUCCGGCUUAAGCCGCGGGAGAGUAGGUCGCCGCCAAGU